GGGGAAGGAAGGCCUACUCUUGCACAAAUUUCGUGCAUUGAGCCUCUAGUAAGCUUCAGGAGCCAGAAUAUGCCUGGCCUCAUCCUCUUUGCCUAUCUUGAUGAUGGCAGAAGCACUUGUUGAGAUGAAACUUCUUGCAGCCUGCGUUUCUAAGUGACAACAUUGAGCAGAAGCACCUUCGUGAUCCAUGUUGGACAUGUAGCAUGAGGAAGAAAUAAACUUUGGCUAUGUUAAA